AGAGUUUGAUCAUGGCUCAGAUUGAACGCUGGCGGCAUGCUUUACACAUGCAAGUCGAACGGCAGCACAGGGAGCUUGCUCCCGGGUGGCGAGUGGCGCACGGGUGAGUAAUACAUCGGAACGUGUCCUGUUNUGGGGGGAUAACUGCUCGAAAGGGUGGCUAAUACCGCAUGAGACCUGAGGGUAAAAGCGGGGGAUCGCAAGACCUCGCGCAAUUGGAGCGGCCGAUGCCCGAUUAGCUAGUUGGUGAGGUAAAGGCUCACCAAGGCGACGAUCGGUAGCUGGUCUGAGAGGACGACCAGCCACACUGGGACUGAGACACGGCCCAGACUCCUACGGGAGGCAGCA
rnacentral:rRNA from 1 species